rnacentral:rRNA from 1 species
UAACCGGCGAUACCCGAAUGGGGAAACCCAGUGUGACUCGUCACACUAUCAUUAACUGAAUCCAUAGGUUAAUGAGGCGAACCGGGGGAACUGAAACAUCUAAGUACCCCGAGGAAAAGAAAUCAACCGAGAUUCCCCCAGUAGCGGCGAGCGAACGGGGAGGAGCCCAGAGCCUGAAUCAGCAUGUGUGUUAGUGGAAGCGUCUGGAAAGGCGCGCGAUACAGGGUGACAGCCCCGUACACAAAAGCGCAUGUGCUGUGAGCUCGAUGAGUAGGGCGGGACACGUGGUAUCCUGUCUGAAUAUGGGGGGACCAUCCUCCAAGGCUAAAUACUCCUGACUGACCGAUAGUGAACCAGUACCGUGAGGGAAAGGCGAAAAGAACCCCGGCGAGGGGAGUGAAAAAGAACCUGAAACCGUGUACGUACAAGCAGUGGGAGCACCCUUUGGGUGUGACUGCGUACCUUUUGUAUAAUGGGUCAGCGACUUAUAUUCUGUAGCAAGGUUAACCGAAUAGGGGAGCCGGAGGGAAACCGAGUCUUAAUUGGGCGUUAAGUUGCAGGGUAUAGACCCGAAACCCGGUGAUCUAGCCAUGGGCAGGUUGAAGGUUGGGUAACACUAACUGGAGGACCGAACCGACUAAUGUUGAAAAAUUAGCGGAUGACCUGUGGCUGGGGGUGAAAGGCCAAUCAAACCGGGAGAUAGCUGGUUCUCCCCGAAAGCUAUUUAGGUAGCGCCUCGUGAAUUCAUCUCCGGGGGUAGAGCACUGUUUCGGCUAGGGGGCCAUCCCGGCUUACCAACCCGAUGCAAACUGCGAAUACCGGAGAAUGUUAUCACGGGAGACACACGGCGGGUGCUAACGUCCGUCGUGAAGAGGGAAACAACCCAGACCGCCAGCUAAGGUCCCAAAGUCAUGGUUAAGUGGGAAACGAUGUGGGAAGGCCCAGACAGCCAGGAUGUUGGCUUAGAAGCAGCCAUCAUUUAAAGAAAGCGUAAUAGCUCACUGGUCGAGUCGGCCUGCGCGGAAGAUGUAACGGGGCUAAACCAUGCACCGAAGCUGCGGCAGCGACACUGUGUGUUGUUGGGUAGGGGAGCGUUCUGUAAGCCUGUGAAGGUGUGUCGUGAGGCAUGCUGGAGGUAUCAGAAGUGCGAAUGCUGACAUAAGUAACGAUAAAGCGGGUGAAAAGCCCGCUCGCCGGAAGACCAAGGGUUCCUGUCCAACGUUAAUCGGGGCAGGGUGAGUCGACCCCUAAGGCGAGGCCGAAAGGCGUAGUCGAUGGGAAACGGGUUAAUAUUCCCGUACUUGGUGUUACUGCGAAGGGGGGACGGAGAAGGCUAUGUUGGCCGGGCGACGGUUGUCCCGGUUUAAGCGUGUAGGUGUGUGUUCCAGGUAAAUCCGGUUCACUUUAACACUGAGGCGUGACGACGAGGCACUACGGUGCUGAAGCAACAAAUGCCCUGCUUCCAGGAAAAGCCUCUAAGCAUCAGGUAACAUCAAAUCGUACCCCAAACCGACACAGGUGGUCAGGUAGAGAAUACCAAGGCGCUUGAGAGAACUCGGGUGAAGGAACUAGGCAAAAUGGUGCCGUAACUUCGGGAGAAGGCACGCUGACACGUAGGUGAAGUGAUUUACUCAUGGAGCUGAAGUCAGUCGAAGAUACCAGCUGGCUGCAACUGUUUAUUAAAAACACAGCACUGUGCAAACACGAAAGUGGACGUAUACGGUGUGACGCCUGCCCGGUGCCGGAAGGUUAAUUGAUGGGGUCAGCGCAAGCGAAGCUCCUGAUCGAAGCCCCGGUAAACGGCGGCCGUAACUAUAACGGUCCUAAGGUAGCGAAAUUCCUUGUCGGGUAAGUUCCGACCUGCACGAAUGGCGUAAUGAUGGCCAGGCUGUCUCCACCCGAGACUCAGUGAAAUUGAACUCGCUGUGAAGAUGCAGUGUACCCGCGGCAAGACGGAAAGACCCCGUGAACCUUUACUAUAGCUUGACACUGAACAUUGAGCCUUGAUGUGUAGGAUAGGUGGGAGGCUUUGAAGUGUGGACGCCAGUCUGCAUGGAGCCGACCUUGAAAUACCACCCUUUAAUGUUUGAUGUUCUAACGUGGACCCGUUACCCGGGUUGCGGACAGUGUCUGGUGGGUAGUUUGACUGGGGCGGUCUCCUCCUAAAGAGUAACGGAGGAGCACGAAGGUUGGCUAAUCCUGGUCGGACAUCAGGAGGUUAGUGCAAUGGCAUAAGCCAGCUUGACUGCGAGCGUGACGGCGCGAGCAGGUGCGAAAGCAGGUCAUAGUGAUCCGGUGGUUCUGAAUGGAAGGGCCAUCGCUCAACGGAUAAAAGGUACUCCGGGGAUAACAGGCUGAUACCGCCCAAGAGUUCAUAUCGACGGCGGUGUUUGGCACCUCGAUGUCGGCUCAUCACAUCCUGGGGCUGAAGUAGGUCCCAAGGGUAUGGCUGUUCGCCAUUUAAAGUGGUACGCGAGCUGGGUUUAGAACGUCGUGAGACAGUUCGGUCCCUAUCUGCCGUGGGCGCUGGAGAACUGAGGGGGGCUGCUCCUAGUACGAGAGGACCGGAGUGGACGCAUCACUGGUGUUCGGGUUGUCAUGCCAAUGGCACUGCCCGGUAGCUAAAUGCGGAAGAGAUAAGUGCUGAAAGCAUCUAAGCACGAAACUUGCCCCGA